rnacentral:tRNA from 1 species
GAAAUAUUAAAUUUUAUUGAAUUUCUAAUUCAAGAAUAAAUAAUUAAAUUUAUUUAUAUUUCU